UGCAUUCACUACUGUAAGUCAUUCUGGAUAAGAGUGUCUGCUAAAUGACUAAAA
rfam:Salmo salar isolate Sally breed double haploid chromosome ssa21, whole genome shotgun sequence.